rnacentral:misc_RNA from 1 species
AAGUCGUAACAAGGUUUCCGUAGGUGAACCUGCGGAAGGAUUAUUAACACUUGUUUAGUACCUUUUGUCCUCUACCCGUACCGCUUGCCGCCACGAUUGGGAUCUUGUCGCACCCGUUUUCGCUGGAAAUACCCGCUCGGGGCCUGAGAACCUCCAGAGCUGGAAUACCCGAACAACUGUUAACAAUGGAUAUCUUGGCUCUC